rnacentral:rRNA from 1 species
GUACACAAAAAUGCACAUAUUGUGAGCUCGAUGAGUAGGGCGGGACACGUGGUAUCCUGUCUGAAUAUGGGGGGACCAUCCUCCAAGGCUAAAUACUCCUGACUGACCGAUAGUGAACCAGUACCGUGAGGGAAAGGCGAAAAGAACCCCGGCGAGGGGAGUGAAAAAGAACCUGAAACCGUGUACGUACAAGCAGUGGGAGCCUCUUAAUGGGGUGACUGCGUACCUUUUGUAUAAUGGGUCAGCGACUUAUAUUCUGUAGCAAGGUUAACCGAAUAGGGGAGCCGAAGGGAAACCGAGUCUUAACUGGGCGUUAAGUUGCAGGGUAUAGACCCGAAACCCGGUGAUCUAGCCAUGGGCAGGUUGAAGGUUGGGUAACACUAACUGGAGGACCGAACCGACUAAUGUUGAAAAAUUAGCGGAUGACUUGUGGCUGGGGGUGAAAGGCCAAUCAAACCGGGAGAUAGCUGGUUCUCCCCGAAAGCUAUUUAGGUAGCGCCUCGUGAAUUCAUCUCCGGGGGUAGAGCACUGUUUCGGCAAGGGGGUCAUCCCGACUUACCAACCCGAUGCAAACUGCGAAUACCGGAGAAUGUUAUCACGGGAGACACACGGCGGGUGCUAACGUCCGUCGUGAAGAGGGAAACAACCCAGACCGCCAGCUAAGGUCCCAAAGUCAUGGUUAAGUGGGAAACGAUGUGGGAAGGCCCAGACAGCCAGGAUGUUGGCUUAGAAGCAGCCAUCAUUUAAAGAAAGCGUAAUAGCUCACUGGUCGAGUCGGCCUGCGCGGAAGAUGUAACGGGGCUAAACCAUGCACCGAAGCUGCGGCAGCGACACUAUGUGUUGUUGGGUAGGGGAGCGUUCUGUAAGCCUGUGAAGGUGGCCUGUGAGGGUUGCUGGAGGUAUCAGAAGUGCGAAUGCUGACAUAAGUAACGAUAAAGCGGGUGAAAAGCCCGCUCGCCGGAAGACCAAGGGUUCCUGUCCAACGUUAAUCGGGGCAGGGUGAGUCGACCCCUAAGGCGAGGCCGAAAGGCGUAGUCGAUGGGAAACAGGUUAAUAUUCCUGUACUUGGUGUUACUGCGAAGGGGGGACGGAGAAGGCUAUGUUGGCCGGGCGACGGUUGUCCCGGUUUAAGCGUGUAGGCUGGU